rnacentral:rRNA from 1 species
GUCUCAGGCCGUAUCAGCCUGAAGGCGCCCGAUCUCGUCUGAUCUCGGAAGCUAAGCAGGGUCGGGCCCGGUUAGGAUCUUGGAUGGGAGACCACCUGGGAAUCCCGGGUGCUCGAGGCU